GUUCCAUUGACAGGGGAUACAACUGAUAGAUUCAUUCCCAACAUUCUCUUAAGAGUAAGAUUGAGCCAGGCUUGACUAACAGUGAAAUGUACUGAACAUCUCAAGCUGCCAGGAAGUAGAGUGAAGAAGAAAGAUACAGCAACUUGAACAUCUGUCCCUUGUAUGCUGACAGAGCUGCUUAUACAGCUAGUGCACAGAGAGAGGAAGAGAGCUUUCCUAUAUUCCACGACAAUAUGCUUCAACCUGGAGAAACAUGUCCACAGGUGAAAGAGCAGUUAAGUCUUCAUCACCAUUACAACUCUGGACUUACUUCUGGAACUGUUGGACAAGAACAACAAUUGAUUGUCCCUUUUAAUAGUAGUUUUUGUGAUGUUCGUACUUGCCAACUAGGAACUGGACUGAGACCAAGGACUUAUUUCACACAGGCCACUGUACACUUGUUAAGAAUGAGCUGUCACUAUUGAUCUGGACCAGAAUGGAACCAUUGACCUAGAGGUGGAAGCUCACUGGAAACCCAACAUUCAUUGUUUAUUUGCCAGAUGAUUUCCAAGAUAAAAAGUCAG